GACGAACGCUGGCGGCGUGCUUAACACAUGCAAGUCGAACGGAAAGGCCCUGCUUUUGUGGCGUGCUUGAGUGGCGCACGGGUGAGUAACACGUGAGUAACCUGCCCUUGACUUUGGGAUAAAUUCAGGAAACUGGGGCUCAUACCGGAUAGGCGCUCCUGCUGCAUGGUGGGGGUUGGAAAGUUUCGGCGGUUGGGGAUGGACUCGCGGCCUAUCAGCUUGUUGGUGGGGUAGUGGCUUACCAGGGCUUUGAUGGUUAGCCGGCCUGGGAGGGUGACCGGCCACAUGGGGACUGAGAUACGGCCCAGACUCCUACGGGAGGCAGCAGUGGGAAAUAUUGCACAAUGGGCGGAGGCCGGAUGCAGCAACGCCGCGUGCGGGAUGACGGCCUUCGGUUUGUAAACCGCUUUCGCCUGUGACGAAGCGUGAGUGACGGUAAUGGGUAAAGAAGCACCGGCUAACUACGUG
rnacentral:rRNA from 1 species